CCUACGGGGGGCAGCAGUAGGGAAUAUUGCUCAAUGGGGGAAACCCUGAAGCAGCAACGCCGCGUGGAGGAUGAAGGUUUUCGGAUUGUAAACUCCUUUUGUUAGAGAAGAUAAUGACGGUAUCUAACGAAUAAGCACCGGCUAACUCCGUGCCAGCAGCCGCGGUAAUACGGAGGGUGCAAGCGUUACUCGGAAUCAAUGGGCGUAAAGGGCGCGUAGGCGGGAUAGCAAGUCAGAUGUGAAAUCCUAUGGCUUAACCAUAGAACUGCAUUUGAAACUGUUAUUCUAGAGUAUGGGAGAGGUAGGUGGAAUUCUUGGUGUAGGGGUAAAAUCCGUAGAGAUCAAGAGGAAUACUCAUUGCGAAGGCGACCUGCUAGAACAUAACUGACGCUGAUGCGCGAAAGCGUGGGGAGCAAACAGGAUUAGAUACCCGGGUAGUC
rnacentral:rRNA from 1 species